rnacentral:rRNA from 1 species
UACGUAGGGGGCGAGCGUUGUCCGGAUUUAUUGGGCGUAAAGAGCUCGUAGGCGGUUCGAUAAGUCAGGUGUAAAAACUCCAGGCUCAACUUGGAGAGGCCACCUGAUACUGUCGUGACUAGAGUCCGGUAGAGGAGCACAGAAUUCCUGGUGUAGGCGGUGAAAUGCGCAGAUAUCAGGAGGAACACCAGCGGCGAAGGCGGUGCUCUGGGCCGGAACUGACGCUGAGGAGCGAAAGCGUGGGGAGCGAACAGG